rnacentral:lncRNA from 1 species
UGCGGCUGGCUUGUGUAACAGGUACAGAUAAAGAUGAAACAUCCAAUUGCAGAUAUGAAUGACCUAAUUCAAUGGAUGAGUCUGGAAGAGGACCAAGUUCAUGGGAAAGAUCAAAAAUUCAGUUUUGAAGAUGUUGAUGAGAAGAUGAGACAAAACCAUGUAUAGAUGCGGAUGAGCUAAUUAAAUAUAUGAGUCUGGAGCUGAAAGGAAAUGCCUUGACAAGAGAAGUAAAUUUGAGGACCAUCAGUAUACAGAUGUACUUGAAUCCAUCUAUGUAAAUGCAAUCACCCUGGGAGGAAAUUUAGAGUGAGAACAGGACUGCGUGGAAAGACAUUAAAGAAGUUAAAGAAAGAAGAACUAACAAAGGCAGGAGAGAAGAAGAGGACGGAGAGGUAGGAGAGAAACCAGUAAUGUGCGAUGGCAUAGAAAUUAAGGAAGUUUCCAAGAUUGAAGAAGGAGGGAGAGAGGGCUAUGGAAGUCACAGGUUGGAGGUGGUGCCCAGAGCCUGGAAUAAACAUUUACCCUAGUGUUCAUCAGAGAGUGAAUGAGGCCUGGGAAUCCAAGACUUGCCAAAGAUUAUUCUGCCUGGAACAGGUCAAAAUACAGCAAAGGAUAUGAAGGGACACUACAAGAUGGGAAAAUGGGUGCCUCAUUGUUAACUGAUGUGGACAGAUGAUGGGUAACCACAUAAUCUUCUCUACGUCAUUUUUGAUACUACCAAAAAUUCUGGGUUCUUGGCAUCAUAGCAAAACUCAGAUGUAGAGAGAAGCCCCACAAUUAGAUGAAGUAAAAUUUUCCUACUUGAAGUUGAAUUUCACUGAAGUGAAAUCAGGUCACAGAGUCUAAAAUUAAGUUGAUCUAGGAAAACUGAAAAAAAGAGUAUUUAUUCCACAGUUGAAGUGUAGAAAGGAAUUAAUCUAUGCUAUAAUAGUAAUAGUUAAAAUUUAUUGAACUUUUACUAUAUGACAAGAACUUUGAUAAUAUGUUUAUUUGCAUUGACUAGUUCAUUUAAUUCUGACAGAACUUUUUAAUAUACUUAUACAUCACUUAACAAUGAAGACACAUUCUUAGAAAUGCACUUUUAGGUAAUUGUGCCCUUGUGUGAACAUCAUAGAGUGUACAUACACAAACCUAGAUGAUAUUGAUAGCAACAAGAAACAGACAAGGCAGACAUGGAUGGGUCCCUGGUGAAACUCAACCUUCAAGCCAAGAACAGUCUAAAGCCUGAAAACCAAGCAACAGUUACAGAUAGAAUUCACGGACCAGAAUGAGAACUUCCAUUUCCAUCUUACCUACUCUCUCUCUAUUGGUUCUUUCUGAAUGAUGCCUUUUAGCCAAUCAAAUGCUCCCUUUUCCAAGCCCACCCAUAAAUCAAUCAGCAUGCGUUCCCCCCAUUCUAAGUUCAUAAAACCCUGGAUUCAGCCUCAUAGACGGCUACGCUCUUUGGGGUCCCCUCUUGCUGUUGAGAGCUUUUCUUUCAUUCAGUAAAUUCUACUCUGCCUUACCCUGCCUCCAGUGUCCACGUACCUUAUUACUCUUGGCCACGGGACAAGAACCCAUAACUCACUGAACUAUGGGAGCAAAAGAGCUGUAACAUUCCUGUUCACUGAGCCGUGGGCAGGAAGAGUAAAAGAGCUG